rnacentral:rRNA from 1 species
UACGGAGGGUGCAAGCGUUAUCCGGAUUCACUGGGCUUAAAGGGCGCGUAGGUGGCUUUGUAAGUCAGUGGUGAAAUCUCCAAGCUUAACUUGGAAACUGCCGUUGAUACUAUCAUUCUUGAAUAUCGUGGAGGUGAGCGGAAUAUGUCAUGUAGCGGUGAAAUGCUUAGAUAUGACACAGAACACCGAUUGCGAAGGCAGCUCGCUAAACUGUGAUUGACGCUGAGGCACGAAAGCGUGGGGAUCAAACAGG